UACGAAGGGGGCUAGCGUUGCUCGGAAUCACUGGGCGUAAAGCGCACGUAGGCGGCUUGUUAAGUCAGGGGUGAAAUCCUGGAGCUCAACUCCAGAACUGCCUUUGAUACUGGCGAGCUUGAGUCCGGGAGAGGUGAGUGGAACUGCGAGUGUAGAGGUGAAAUUCGUAGAUAUUUGCAAGAACACCAGUGGCGAAGGCGGCUCACUGGCCCGGUACUGACGCUGAGGUGCGAAAGCGUGGGGAGCAAACAGG
rnacentral:rRNA from 1 species